UAACAAUGAUUCCCCUAGUAACGGCGAGUGAAGAGGGAAAAGCUCAAAGUUGGAACCUGGUAGGCAUAGCUUACCCGGAUUGUAAACUAAAGUUUUCGAGUCGUUUAGUCAGCCAGGUAAAUAAGUCCUCUGGAAAGGGGCGACAUAGAGGGUGAAAUCCCCGUCUUUGGCCUGAGUUUUGAUUAGGCGUUUGGCUUGGAAACGAAGAGUCAGGUUGUUUGGGAAUGCAGCCUAAAAUGGGAGGUAAAUCUCUCCUAAAGCUAAAUAUUGACGAAAGACCGAUAGCGAACAAGUACCGUGAGGGAAAGAUGAAAAGCACUUUGAAAAGAGGGUCAAAAAGUACGUGAAAUUGCUGAAAGGGAACCGUAUGAAAUCAGAUCUACUGGUAGGUAAUCAAUCUUUCCUUUGGGAAGGAUGCACUUGCCUACUAUGUAUGCCAGCGACAUUUUGGUUGGGAGGAAAAAAAUAAAGGAAAUGUAGCUUAGGUUUCGGCUUAGGUGUUAUAGUCCUUUAUAAAAUACUCUCGGCUGGAAUGAGGAACGCAGCAAACCGUAAGGCGAAGAUUUCAGGCGCUUAGAGGGAAUAAUUAGAGAAUUUCUGCUUCGGGUGGUGCUUUGAUUAUUACCUUUAACACGCUUGGAGUUCUUUUAAUUUGCUUAGGUUGUUGGCUUAAUGAUUUUAUAUGACCCGUCUUGAAACACGGACCAA
rnacentral:rRNA from 2 species